UUGGAGGGCAAGUCUGGUGCCAGCAGCCGCGGUAAUUCCAGCUCCAAUAGCGUAUAUUAAAGUUGUUGCAGUUAAAAAGCUCGUAGUUGAAUUUCGGGAUCAAUACGUCGGUCGUGCUUUUUUGGUACGCACUGGCGUCAUUGGUUUCUCCUUUCUGACGAACCAUGAUGUCAUUAAUUUGGUGUUAUGGGGAGUUAGGACUGUUACUUUGAAAAAAUUAGAGUGUUUAAAGCAGGCAUUAGCUUGAAUACAUUAGCAUGGAAUAAUGAAAUAGGACGUUCGAUCCUAUUUUGUUGGUUUCUAGGAUCAACGCAAUGAUUAAUAGGGAUAGUUGGGGGCAUUAGUAUUCAAUUGUCAGAGGUGAAAUUCUUGGAUUUAUUGAAGACUAACUACUGCGAAAGCAUUUGCCAAGGAUGUUUUCAUUAAUCAAGAACGAAAGUUAGGGGAUCGAAGACGAUCAGAUACCGUCGUAGUCUUAACCAUAAACUAUGCCGACUAGGGAUCGGAUGAUGUUAAUUUUUUAAUGACUCAUUCGGCGCCUUACGGGAAAC
rnacentral:rRNA from 1 species